CUAGAUCUAAAUGACAACUCGAUAUGACGUUUAAAUAAUAUUGAAAAAUAACUCAGAUACCUUUGCAAACAUAAUCUUAGUAAGGUUAUCUAGCCGAUUGUGUAGUCUAGAUGUAUAGUCUAGAGAGUCCAGAGCUCAGAGUCAGUUCAAAUAGAACUACUUAAGUAAAAUGCUCCUCAAUUUCUCAAUUCUUCCCGGACAAACAUCAUCCAGUUGAAUCGAACCCUAAUCCGAAUCGAAUGACUAAAGAUAAUAGUGGCCCAUAAGAAGAAUGAACUGAAGAUGUUGCUGCUGUCAUAAAUGACUAAUCAGUUGCUCAUUGAGUUGCUCGUAAAGAGUCGGGAAAAGACACUUAUUUGCAGAUAACGAGAAACGGUCGAAAUUAAUCGUCGAUUAGAAGAAUGUACUGAAGAUGACUAUUCGUUUCUUACUUCCGUCGAACUGGGGUUACACUAUAAAUCAGCAUUGAUGGCGAUUGCAAACGCUUUCAGCUCUCGUGGAUCGGUGUUAGUGUCGGAAUUCAGGCCAGCGGCUGCGAAAGCCGCCCUGAUGACACGAUGAUGUACCGCUGAAUGCCCAUGGUGCCCUGCAUCUGGAGUAUGAUUUCGUUUCUUCUAAAUUAUUGAGUCUAGAGAGUCCAGAGCUCAGAGUCGGUUCAAAUAAAAUAUUUAACUAAAAUGCUCCUCAAUUUCUCAAUUCUUCUCGGACAAGCAUCAUCCAGUUGAAUCGAACCCUAAUCCGAAUCAGCAUCAAUAGAACCCAUAAAUUGGUUUCUCAUGGAGUCUUUUCGUAAAGAGUCGGGAAAAGAAACUUAUUUGCAGACAACGAGAAA